rnacentral:rRNA from 1 species
UACGGAGGGUGCAAGCGUUGUUCGGAAUUAUUGGGCGUAAAGCGCGUGUAGGCGGUUUGUUAAGUCUGAUGUGAAAGCCCUGGGCUCAACCUGGGAAGUGCAUUGGAAACUGGCAGACUUGAAUACGGGAGAGGGUAGUGGAAUUCCGAGUGUAGGAGUGAAAUCCGUAGAUAUUCGGAGGAACACCGGUGGCGAAGGCGGCUACCUGGACCGAUAUUGACGCUGAGACGCGAAAGCGUGGGUAGCAAACAGG